AUACCACUCCCUCCGUUCGAAAUUACUUGUCUCGGAAAUGGAUGUAUCUACAACUAAAAUACGUCUAGAUACAUCCAUUUCUGCGACAAGUAAUUCCGAACGGAGGGAGUAUGUC
rnacentral:pre_miRNA from 1 species